rnacentral:rRNA from 1 species
AUACGGAGGAUCCGAGCGUUAUCCGGAUUUAUUGGGUUUAAAGGGAGCGUAGGUGGAUUGUUAAGUCAGUUGUGAAAGUUUGCGGCUCAACCGUAAAAUUGCAGUUGAAACUGGCAGUCUUGAGUACAGUAGAGGUGGGCGGAAGUCGUGGUGUAGCGGUGAAAUGCUUAGAUAUCACGAAGAACUCCGAUUGCGAAGGCAGCUCACUAGACUGUUACUGACACUGAUGCUCGAAAGUGUGGGUAUCAAACAGGAUUAGAUACCCUGGUAGUCCACACAGUAAACGAUGAAUACUCGCUGUUUGCGAUAUACAGUAAGCGGCCAAGCGAAAGCAUUAAGUAUUCCACCUGGGGAGUACGCCGGCAACGGUGAAACUCAAAGGAAUUGACGGGG